rnacentral:rRNA from 1 species
GAUCAUGCUCAGGACGAACGCUGGCGGCGCGCCUAACACAUGCAAGUCGAACGGAGUUAUUGAAAGCUUGCUUUGAUAACUUAGUGGCGGACGGGUGAGUAACACGUGAGUAACCUGCCUUUCAGUGGGGAAUAACGGCUGGAAACGGUCGCUAAUACCGCAUAAUGUAUUUUGUCGGCAUCGACGGAAUACCAAAGAUUUAUCGCUGAGAGAUGGACUCGCGUCCGAUUAGCUAGUUGGUGAGGUAAUGGCUCACCAAGGCGACGAUCGGUAGCCGGACUGAGAGGUUGAACGGCCACAUUGGGACUGAGACACGGCCCAGACUCCUACGGGAGGCAGCAGUGGGGGAUAUUGCACAAUGGGGGAAACCCUGAUGCAGCGACGCCGCGUGUAGGAAGACGGUCCUCUGGAUUGUAAACUACUGUCUUCGGGGACGAUAAUGACGGUACCCGAGGAGGAAGCUCCGGCUAACUACGUGCCAGCAGCCGC